GCGGCGGGUGCCUAUGGUCGCUGCUGUGCGGGGACAAUCCGCCGCCAUCCGCCAUCUGACGAGGCCCCGCCGCGUCGGCGCCCCGGGGAGUCGGCGGGAUGAUGUGGUUCCCUCCGUGGUGCGCGAUCUGGGCUGCCGUGGGAGCGGUGUGAGAUGCUGUUCCUGUCGUCACCCGGUGCAGGAGGCGGUGCUGGGCAGGGUUUCUCGCUGUUCGGAGCUCACUGCCUGCCUGCUGAUAGACCCAAGGAGCUGCACACUUAGUGGAAGAGUCUGAGAGCUCGUGAGACCCCGUGGAAAUUAUUGGUGUGCUUUCCUUAAGGCUGAAACUGGAGAAACUGAAGUGGAGCAUGUCAGUGUCCCUUGUUUAAACGGCAUUCAGACCCAAGUGCCUUCAAUCCUGAAGGAGCAGCGUUCUGCACAGCCUCACGGUGGCUGCUGUGUGAGGUGGGAGCUCCCCCAGGUGGGAGAGCUGCAGUGGUGCAGCAGUCAGAGUGCUGUGGGCACUCAGCCUCUGAGGGACGCUGCCAGAGCUCCCAUUCAGAUGCUCAGUGAAGAAGAAUGUUCCUUGCUACGGAGUUUGUCAAAAGAAGAGCUUUCAAGAAGGUCUGGGUAGGAAAUAUUUGGAGUACGGUGCUGAGGUCUGGGGCUUCCAGCACAGGAGAGAUGUGCAGCAAAGCCAGAGCAAGUUGGAGGGGCAGCUGGGUGAUGGCUGCCCUCAUUGCAUCAACGUGUUGGCACACAGUGCUGAGGUUUGGGCACAGCAGAUAUGCCAAUUAAUCCUACAGUUCAUUCUCACCUCUUCAUGCCUUGAGACAUGUAGCUCCAGGUAUAUGAUCUCUUAAAGUUUUACUGUUAAGACUUUCCCAUUAUAGUAGGUAAGUAAUUUUAUUAUAAAAUAACGAUAAAAUACAUUUUACAAAAUGCA